rfam:Glossina austeni unplaced genomic scaffold Scaffold53, whole genome shotgun sequence.
UACACGCAUUAGGGGUGCUCUAGAAAAGCUGAGAGUACAUAAAGUACAACCCUUUGAACCUGGUAUUGUUAAAGCAAGCGUAGGAAAAUGUAUGUAUAUAAAU